rnacentral:rRNA from 1 species
UUGAGCGCUGGCGGCAGGCCUAACACAUGCAAGUCGAACGGUAACAGGAAGCAGCUUGCUGCUUUGCUGACGAGUGGCGGACGGGUGAGUAAUGUCUGGGAAACUGCCCGAUGGAGGGGGAUAACUACUGGAAACGGUAGCUAAUACCGCAUAACGUCGCAAGACCAAAGAGGGGGACCUUAGGGCCUCUUGCCAUCGGAUGUGCCCAGAUGGGAUUAGCUAGUAGGUGGGGUAACGGCUCACCUAGGCGACGAUCCCUAGCUGGUCUGAGAGGAUGACCAGCCACACUGGAACUGAGACACGGUCCAGACUCCUACGGGAGGCAGCAGUGGGGAAUAUUGCACAAUGGGCGCAAGCCUGAUGCAGCCAUGCCGCGUGUAUGAAGAAGGCCUUCGGGUUGUAAAGUACUUUCAGCGGGGAGGAAGGGAGUAAAGUUAAUACCUUUGCUCAUUGACGUUACCCGCAGAAGAAGCACCGGCUAACUCCGUG